rfam:Daedalea quercina L-15889 unplaced genomic scaffold DAEQTscaffold_6, whole genome shotgun sequence.
GGCAAGAUGGCCGAGCGGUCUAAGGCGCUGGAAUCAGGUUAUACCAAUCCAGUCCGAAAGGGCGCGAGUUCGAAUCUCGCUCUUGUCA